AAAAAUCAAAAUCAACAUGAACACAACAGAAGCCAAUUAGGGCAAAGAUGAAUCAACAUGAGCACAAUAGAAGCCAAACACGAACACAACCUCAUGUCGUUAUCUUCUCAAUUGUGAGUAUUGCAGAAAAAAUUUAAAAAUGAAAUUAGCUUGUGACACUAUUGUGUUGUUCUUCUCUAAAGAGGGUUGCAACAGUAGAAGGAAGCAAAACAAAUUCCAAGGUUCUACAAGAUAAGAAAGACUCAAAGGAAAGUGAAUAAAAAAAUCAGAGUAAAAACUCAGAUGAUGAAGAAAUAUCAUUCAUAUCAACGAAAAUUCAAUGCAUAGGUAAUGACGGGGAAAAAUCAUUUCCUAAAAAGGAUUUUAGACAAUCCACAAAUAGUAGAGAGAAAAAAAAGAACUAUGAAUGCAAAGAAUCAAGACAUUUUAAACUAGAGUGUCUUAAGCUUGAGAAUGCAAACUCUAAAAUAAAAUACUUCAAUGUAAAGAAAAAAAAAUAAUGGCUACAUGGGAUGACUCAGAUGAAUCAGAUGAAGAUGAAGAACAUGCAAACACGGCUCUGAUGGCAUAUGUUCGCUUUAGCUCUGAUUCUAAUAAUGAAUUUGUUGAUGAGGAAAUGGAGUUACUAUCUAACCUAUCUUGCAAUGAACAAGAAUCACACAAUAUCUCCUCAAAACUAAAAAAAUCUCAUAAAAACUCGUUUCAUCUUAACCAUAUAAGUACAAUUCCCUUGAAAAAGCUUUUUAAAACAUAAAAAGGAAAAAUCUAACUCUGGAGAAUAAUGUUUCAAAAACCUCUGAGGUAAGUGCCUGUAAUUAUUUUAAGUAUGAAAAAACCUUUAAAGUGAAUCUUGACAAAUUUGAUUUACGAUCUCAAAAUUGCAUUUUUUUGGGAUACUUUGAAAGACCUACAAGUUAUAAAUUAUACGAUUAAAAGAUACUGAUUGUCAAGGAAUCAAUUUUUAACCAUAAAAAGUCAAAGUUCGAUGAAGAUUUUUCAUAUUUACAUAUAUCUUAGGAACUAGAGAAAUCAGAGGAACCAACAAAGUCUCCCUCUAAAAGAACUAGAAGAUGUACUUGACAAUAGAAGGACAAGUAAUGACAAAGCAUCUACAAGUCAAAGUCAUUAGAACCUAAACUUAGAUGACAAUACAAAUCAUCACAUCUAGAUUCUCUGAUAAUAAGAAAUUUAAGUGAACCUAUGAAGAUCAAGUCUGCUUUUAAAGAAAUAUCAAUUGUAGCACCUAAUUUUUGUCCAAUUAAUUUAAAAUUAUUUUAAUAAUAAUAAUAAUAAUAUUAAUAAUAAUAUAUUUAAAUAUUUUUACAAUCAUUUUCAAAAAUACCAUUAUUUUAUAUUCAGAUUUAAGUAUAUAUUAAAAAUAAAAUAAAAAGGAAAAAUAAAUAAAAUAUUUUUUAAUUGAUCUGCAACCCUGGGCACACGUUUCCUUCCGUUCACACGUCUUCAACGUUCCCUAGGUUUUGUUCAACAAAGUUUCCUUUCAACCCAGCAUCACUCAAAAAAAAAAAAAACAAUUGCUCAGAAACAACUUGCAAAGACCCAUCCUUUAUCUUGUAUACCUUGUGAAGAUCCCUAUUGCAAACAUGUUAUAAACCGGUUCUUUGAUUAUUUGUUCACACGUCUUCAACGUUCCCUAGGUUUUGUUCAACAAAGUUUCCUUUCAACCCAGCAUCACUCAAAAAAAAAAAAACAAUUGCUCAGAAACAACUUGCAAAGACCCAUCCUUUAUCUUGUAUACCUUGUGAAGAUCCCUAUUGCAAACAUGUUAUAAACCGGUUCUUUGAUUAUUUUUUUACCUUAAUAAAGAAAUGCAAUACACUCAAUGUAAAGUUAACAUGCUUUUUUUUUUUUCCUUGGUAUCUUGUUUAAAUUUUAUUACAAAAACAAUGUAAAAUCCAAUGAAUUUUUGUUGAGUAACAAUACAAAAUCCAGAACAUGUAUUUGUACAAUGAAUCAAAACAUUAGCCAUUUCUCUUAUAAAUUGAGGCAAACAGAACUGAGAGAGGAGAGGAAAUUUUCUAAAACAAUCAGAAAACCAGAGAAAGUAGAAGAUAAAGUUGUUCUUAGAGAAACAGAUCUUACCCAUAGCAAACAGAUCCAUCAAACCCAUUCAGCAAACUCAGAUCCAUCAAACCCAUAUCCAUAGCUAAAGGAUAUUCAAACCCAUUUUAAGAUCAAACGACCGCAUCGGAAAGAUAUUUCAUUCAAUUCCUGGUUUGCGUUUGAAAUUUUGUAUAUGAGUUUGGAAUGGGGGGUGAGGUUUG
rnacentral:lncRNA from 1 species